UUUUAGAAAUUAAUUUAAAGUCUAACCUGCCCACUGAAUAAUUUUUAAAUGGCCGCAGUAUCCUAACUGUGCAAAGGUAGCAUAAUCAUUAGUCUUUUAAUUGAAGGCUGGAAUGAAUGGUUGGAUGAAAUAUUAACUGUUUCAUAAAAAUUUAUAAUAGAAUUUAAUUUUUUAGUCAAAAAGCUAAAAUAUUAUUAAAAGACGAGAAGACCCUAUAAAUCUUUAUAUUUAAAUAAUUUUAAUUAUUUAGAUUAAUUAAAUUAUAAUUAUUUUAAAUAUUUUAUUGGGGUGAUAUUAAAAUUUAAAAAACUUUUAAUUUAUAACUAACAUAAAUUAAUGAAUUAUUGAUCCAUUUAUUAUGAUUAAAAAAUUAAGUUACUUUAGGGAUAACAGCGUAAUUUUUUUAGAGAGUUCAUAUUGAUAAAAA
rnacentral:rRNA from 1 species